rnacentral:rRNA from 1 species
GACAGAGGGGGCAAGCGUUGCUCGGAAUUACUGGGCGUAAAGGGCGCGUAGGCGGGAUGGCAAGUCGGUCGUGAAAUCCCUCGGCUCAACUGAGGAGCGUCGAUCGAAACUGCCGUUCUUGAGGGUUGCAGAGGAGACUGGAAUUCCCGGUGUAGCGGUGAAAUGUGUAGAGAUCGUGAGGAAGACCCGUGGCGAAGGCGGAUCUCUGGACGGCUAACUGACGCUGAGGCGCGAAGGCCAGGGGAGCAAACGGG